GACGAACGCUGGCGGCGUGCUUAACACAUGCAAGUCGAACGGAAAGGCCCUGCUUUUGUGGGGUGCUCGAGUGGCGAACGGGUGAGUAACACGUGAGUAACCUGCCCUUGACUUUGGGAUAACUUCAGGAAACUGGGGCUAAUACCGGAUAGGAGCUCCUGCUGCAUGGUGGGGGUUGGAAAGUUUCGGCGGUUGGGAAUGGACUCGCGGCUUAUCAGCUUGUUGGUGGGGUAGUGGCUUACCAAGGCUUUGACGGAUAGCCGGCCUGAGAGGGUGACCGGCCACAUUGGGACUGAGAUACGGCCCAGACUCCUACGGGAGGCAGCAGUGGGGAAUAUUGCACAAUGGGCGGAAGCCUGAUGCAGCAACGCCGCGUGCGGGAUGACGGCCUUCGGGUUGUAAACCGCUUUCGCCUGUGACGAAGCGUGAGUGACGGUAAUGGGUAAAGAAGCACCGGCUAACUACGUG
rnacentral:rRNA from 1 species